rnacentral:tRNA from 1 species
GGCCUAAUGGAUAAGGCGUUGGUCUUCGGAACCAAAGAUUGUGGGUUCGAGUCCCACCG